rnacentral:rRNA from 1 species
GACGAACGCUGGCGGCGUGCUUAACACAUGCAAGUCGUACGGUAAGGCCCUUUCGGGGGUCCACGAGUGGCGAACGGGUGAGUAACACGUGAGUAACCUGCCCACAACUUUGGGAUAACGCUAGGAAACUGGUGCUAAUACUGGAUAUGUGCCCCUGCUGCAUGGUGGGGGUUGGAAAGCUCCGGCGGUUGUGGAUGGACUCGCGGCCUAUCAGCUUGUUGGUGGGGUAGUGGCCUACCAAGGCGGCGACGGGUAGCCGGCCCGAGAGGGUGACCGGCCACAUUGGGACUGAGAUACGGCCCAGACUCCUACGGGAGGCAGCAGGGGGGAAUAUUGCACAAUGGGCGCAAGCCUGAUGCAGCAACGCCGCGUGCGGGAUGACGGCCUUCGGGUUGUAAACCGCUUUCAGCAGGGACGAAGCUUUUUGUGACGGUACCUGCAGAAGAAGCACCGGCUAACUACGUG